UACGUAGGGGGCUAGCGUUGUCCGGAAUCAUUGGGCGUAAAGCGCGUGUAGGCGGCCCGGUAAGUCCGCUGUGAAAGUCGGGGGCUCAACCCUCGGAUGCCGGUGGAUACUGUCGGGCUCGAGUACGGAAGAGGCGAGUGGAAUUCCUGGUGUAGCGGUGAAAUGCGCAGAUAUCAGGAGGAACACCGAUUGCGAAGGCAGCUCGCUGGGACGUUACUGACGCUGGAGACGCGAAAGCGUUGGGGAGCAAACAGG
rnacentral:rRNA from 1 species